rnacentral:rRNA from 1 species
CGGCAUGCCUUACACAUGCAAGUCGAACGGCAGCACGGGAGCAAUCCUGGUGGCGAGUGGCGAACGGGUGAGUAAUAUAUCGGAACGUGCCCAGUCGUGGGGGAUAACGUAGCGAAAGCUACGCUAAUACCGCAUACGAUCUAUGGAUGAAAGCGGGGGAUCGCAAGACCUCGCGCGAUUGGAGCGGCCGAUAUCAGAUUAGGCAGUUGGUGAGGUAAAGGCUCACCAAGCCGACGAUCUGUAGCUGGUCUGAGAGGACGACCAGCCACACUGGGACUGAGACACGGCCCAGACUCCUACGGGAGGCAGCAGUGGGGAAUUUUGGACAAUGGGCGCAAGCCUGAUCCAGCAAUGCCGCGUGCAGGAUGAAGGCCUUCGGGUUGUAAACUGCUUUGUACGGAACGAAACGGUGAGCUCUAAUACAGUUUGCUAAUGACGGUACCGUAAGAAUAAGCACCGGCUAACUACGUG